rnacentral:rRNA from 1 species
UUUGAAAUCUGGCUCCUCGGGGCCCGAAUUGUAAUUUGUAGAAGAUGCUUUGGGUCUGGGCCUGGCCUAAGUUCCUUGGAACAGGACGUCGUAGAGGGUGAGAAUCCCGUAUGCGGCUGGCGCCCGUGCCCGUGUAAAGCUCUUUCAACGAGUCGAGUUGUUUGGGAAUGCAGCUCUAAAUGGGUGGUAAAUUUCAUCUAAAGCUAAAUAUUGGCCAGAGACCGAUAGCGCACAAGUAGAGUGAUCGAAAGAUGAAAAGCACUUUGGAAAGAGAGUUAAACAGUACGUGAAAUUGUUGAAAGGGAAGCGCUGGCAACCAGACUUGGGCGCUGUUGAUCCGCUAGGGUUCUCUCUAGGGCACUCGGCAGUGCGCAGGCCAGCAUCGGUUUGGGGGGUUGGAGAAUGGCUGGUGGAAUGUGGCUGUCUUCGGGCAGUGUUAUAGCCACCGGUGGCAUGCAGCCUCCCCGGACCGAGGACCGCGCUUCGGCUAGGAUGCUGGCGUAAUGGUUGUCAGCGACCCGUCUUGAAACACGGACCAAGGAGUCUAACAUCUAUGCGAGUGUUUGGGUGUUAAACCCAUACGCGGAAUGAAAGUGAACGUAGGUGAGAACCCGCAAGGGUGCAUCAUCGACCGAUCCUGAUGUCUUCGGAUGGAUUUGAGUAAGAGCAUAGCUGUUGGGACCCGA